rnacentral:rRNA from 1 species
UACGUAGGGUGCGAGCGUUGUCCGGAAUUACUGGGCGUAAAGAGCUCGUAGGCGGCUUGUCGCGUCGAAUGUGAAAACUCGGGGCUCAACUCCGAGCUUGCAUUCGAUACGGGCAGGCUAGAGUUCGGUAGGGGAGACUGGAAUUCCUGGUGUAGCGGUGAAAUGCGCAGAUAUCAGGAGGAACACCGGUGGCGAAGGCGGGUCUCUGGGGCCGAUACUGACGCUGAGGAGCGAAAGCGUGGGGAGCGAACAGG